AGCGAGAAGACCCGCAAGGGUUUGUAAAGCGGCGGACGGGAGAGUAACGCGUAGGUAAUCUACCUUCUAGUGGGGAAUAACGUACCGAAAGGAACGCUAAUACCGCAUGUGGAUCCCGGUUUAUUUCCGGUAUCUAAAGGGGGCUCUCGAAAGAGGCUUUCGCUAGUAGAUGAGCCUGCGUCCCAUUAGCUAGUUGGUGAGGUAAUGGCUCACCAAGGCAACGAUGGGUAGCUGGUCUGAGAGGACGACCAGCCACACUGGAACUGACACACGGUCCAGACUCCUACGGGAGGCAGCAGUGGGGAAUAUUGCGCAAUGGAGGAAACUCUGACGCAGCGACGCCGCGUGGGUGAUGAAGGCCUUCGGGUUGUAAAGCCCUGUCGGCUGGGAAAAAGGUAGUCGUGCUAAUACCACGAUUGCUUGAUGGUACCAGCAAAGGAAGCACCGGCUAACUCUGUGC
rnacentral:rRNA from 1 species